GUAGGACCCAAGCGUUAUCCGGAUUUACUGGGCGUAAAGAGUUGCGUAGGUGGCAGAGUAAGUAAAUAGUGAAAUCGUGUGGCUCAACCAUACACCCAUUAUUUAAACUGCUCAGCUUGAGAGUGAGAGAGGUAGAUGGAAUUGCUAGUGUAGGAGUGAAAUCCGUAGAUAUUAGCAGGAACACCGAUGGCGUAGGCAGUCUACUGGCUCAUUUCUGACACUAAGGCACGAAAGCGUGGGGAGCAAACGGGAUUAGAUACCCCGGUAGUCCACGCCGUAAACUAUGGACGCUAGCUGUAAGAAGUAUCGACCCUUCUUGUAGCGAAGCUAACGCGUUAAGCGUCCCGCCUGUGGAGUACGGUCGCAAGACUA
rnacentral:rRNA from 1 species